rnacentral:rRNA from 1 species
AUACAUAGUCAAACGAAGCGAACCGGGGGAACUGAAACAUCUCAGUACCCCGAGGAAAAGAAAUCAACCGAGAUUCCCCUAGUAGCGGCGAGCGAACGGGGAGCAGCCCAGAGUCUUAAUCAGCAUUAGUAUCAGGAGAACGGUCUGGAAAGUCCGGCAGUAAAGGGUGAUAGCCCCGUAUCUGAAGAUAUUAGUGUUGUGAACUCGACGAGUAGGGCGGGACACGUGUUAUCCUGUCUGAAUAUGGGGGGACCAUCCUCCAAGGCUAAAUACUCCUGAUUGACCGAUAGUGAACCAGUACCGUGAGGGAAAGGCGAAAAGAACCCCGGCGAGGGGAGUGAAAUAGAACCUGAAACCGUGUACGUACAAGCAGUGGGAGCCUUGAUUUAUCAGGGUGACUGCGUACCUUUUGUAUAAUGGGUCAGCGACUUAUAUUCUGUAGCAAGGUUAACCGUAUAGGGGAGCCGUAGGGAAACCGAGUCUUAACUGGGCGAAUGAGUUGCAGGGUAUAGACCCGAAACCCGGUGAUCUAGCCAUGGGCAGGUUGAAGGUUGGGUAACACUAACUGGAGGACCGAACCGACUAAUGUUGAAAAAUUAGCGGAUGACUUGUGGCUGGGGGUGAAAGGCCAAUCAAACCGGGAGAUAGCUGGUUCUCCCCGAAAGCUAUUUAGGUAGCGCCUCGUGAACUCAUCUUCGGGGGUAGAGCACUGUUUCGACUAGGGGGUCAUCCCGACUUACCAACUCGAUGCAAACUACGAAUACCGAAGAAUGUUAUCACGGGAGACACACGGCGGGUGCUAACGUUCGUCGUGAAGAGGGAAACAACCCAGACCGCCAGCUAAGGUCCCAAAGUCAUAGUUAAGUGGGAAACGAAGUGGGAAGGCUCAGACAGCCAGGAUGUUGGCUUAGAAGCAGCCAUCAUUUAAAGAAAGCGUAAUAGCUCACUGGUCGAGUCGGCCUGCGCGGAAGAUGUAACGGGGCUAAACUAUGCACCGAAGCUGCGGCAGCGAUAUGUAAAUAUUGUUGGGUAGGGGAGCGU